GCGCUGUGCGUUCAACGGAUAAAGGCUUUCCAGCGUCCGACUUUCCAAACAGUCACAGUAUCUGGGGCAUCGUGUCGACCUUCUCAAGCGAGCUGAAUCCGUAAAAUUUCCUCUUGGAUAGACCUGAAAGAUCAGAAAGAUGCAAUCACAACAGCUAAUAUGAGAGCUUACACUCAGCAUGUGUCCAGGGGUGGAAGACCAAGAGGUGAAAUUCACAGCCAGAGCCUGCCAGAGCCGUUUUGGGUGCACACAGACUACAGUUAUUUUCACAAAUAUGGCUGAACUAAAUCCACUGUGACUGGGCCUCCAGGUGAGGAAGAACAGCCAGGGUACAGGCACCAUCAGGAUUGGAGGGGAAGAUAGAACAUCAGUGGGUAAAGCUAUACCUAUCUUUUGUUUUGCCCACAGGCCUAAAGGACUCCACAAAACACUGCUAGAAACAUUUAGAAGCAGCAAAUAAAGGUCUCCCAUGUAAUUUUCAUAAAGAAUCACAGAUAACUUAUGCUGCAGCUUGUCAAGUUCCACGAGAUAAAACAAUAUAA